rnacentral:rRNA from 1 species
GAUGAACGCUGGCGGCGUGCCUAAUACAUGCAAGUCGAGCGAACAGACGAGGAGCUUGCUCCUUUGACGUUAGCGGCGGACGGGUGAGUAACACGUGAGUAACCUACCUAUAAGACUGGGAUAACUUCGGGAAACCGGAGCUAAUACCGGAUAAUAUUUCGAACCGCAUGGUUCGAUAGUGAAAGAUGGCUUUGCUAUCACUUAUAGAUGGACCUGCGCCGUAUUAGCUAGUUGGUAAGGUAACGGCUUACCAAGGCAACGAUACGUAGCCGACCUGAGAGGGUGAUCGGCCACACUGGAACUGAGACACGGUCCAGACUCCUACGGGAGGCAGCAGUAGGGAAUCUUCCGCAAUGGGCGAAAGCCUGACGGAGCAACGCCGCGUGAGUGAUGAAGGUCUUCGGAUCGUAAAACUCUGUUAUUAGGGAAGAACAAACGUGUAAGUAACUGUGCACGUCUUGACGGUACCUAAUCAGAAAGCCACGGCUAACUACGUGCCAGCAGCCGCGGUAAUACGUAGGUGGCAAGCGUUAUCCGGAAUUAUUGGGCGUAAAGCGCGCGUAGGCGGUUUUUUAAGUCUGAUGUGAAAGCCCACGGCUCAACCGUGGAGGGUCAUUGGAAACUGGAAAACUUGAGUGCAGAAGAAGAAAGUGGAAUUCCAUGUGUAGCGGUGAGAUGCGCAGAGAUAUGGAGGAACACCAGUGGCGAAGGCGACUUUCUGGUCUGUAACUGACGCUGAUGUGCGAAAGCGUGGGGAUCAAACAGGAUUAGAUACCCUGGUAGUCCACGCCGUAAACGAUGAGUGCUAAGUGUUAGGGGGUUUCCGCCCCUUAGUGCUGCAGCUAACGCAUUAAGCACUCCGCCUGGGGAGUACGACCGCAAGGUUGAAACUCAAAGGAAUUGACGGGGACCCGCACAAGCGGUGGAGUAUGUGGUUUAAUUCGAAGCAACGCGAAGAACCUUACCAAAUCUUGACAUCCUUUGCUCCUUCUAGAGAUAGAAGUUUCCCCUUCGGGGGACAAAGUGACAGGUGGUGCAUGGUUGUCGUCAGCUCGUGUCGUGAGAUGUUGGGUUAAGUCCCGCAACGAGCGCAACCCUUAAGCUUAGUUGCCAUCAUUAAGUUGGGCACUCUAAGUUGACUGCCGGUGACAAACCGGAGGAAGGUGGGGAUGACGUCAAAUCAUCAUGCCCCUUAUGAUUUGGGCUACACACGUGCUACAAUGGACAAUACAAAGGGCAGCGAAACCGCGAGGUCAAGCAAAUCCCAUAAAGUUGUUCUCAGUUCGGAUUGUAGUCUGCAACUCGACUACAUGAAGCUGGAAUCGCUAGUAAUCGUAGAUCAGCAUGCUACGGUGAAUACGUUCCCGGGUCU